rnacentral:sRNA from 2 species
UCACCCGUCAUUGGGGAGUAGCCGCCCUGCAGCACCUGCAGGGGCUUGCGUCAACACACUUGGCCCACCGGCCAUGGCGCAGGCAGCAGCGACCACGUCGCCCGCCUGGCAAGACCGAUGACCGUGCUGCC